rnacentral:lncRNA from 1 species
UGUUCUGCUCAUGCUUUGACUGGAACAAUGCUUUAGCCAGGAAGAGACAUUUUGUCGCUUUCUCACGCCACCAUAGAAGUAUAUUAGGCUUAUACCUGUUGCAUAACAGAUGAUAGCUCAACGUUCAAAUGAUAUGUUGAGCUCUGUAACAGUUUCUCCACUAUUUAGGCGGUGUAACAGUCCUCUGAUAAAUAUUUAUAACUCUACAAGUGCUACCAAUGUCAUGUCUUAUUAGGGUCAUCAUUUCCUCAGUUAGAUCAGGUAUGAUCGAUAACUGCAUGAAGUAGAUCUUAUUUGCCUAAUAUUGAAUCGUGUUCUUAUGAAUUCAUCGACUCAUGACCAGUCCAAGAACUAGAAUCGAA